CCCCUUCGGGGGUACACGAGCGGCGAACGGGUGAGUAACACGUGAGCAACCUACCCUCAACUUCGGGAUAAGCCUCGGAAACGGGGUCUAAUACCGGAUAUCACUUCCUGCUUCAUGGUGGGGGGUUGAAAGUUCUGGCGGUUGGGGAUGGGCUCGCGGCCUAUCAGCUUGUUGGUGGGGUAAUGGCCUACCAAGGCGUCGACGGGUAGCCGGCCUGAGAGGGCGACCGGCCACACUGGGACUGAGACACGGCCCAGACUCCUACGGGAGGCAGCAGUGGGGAAUAUUGCGCAAUGGACGAAAGUCUGACGCAGCAACGCCGCGUGAGGGAUGACGGCCUUCGGGUUGUAAACCUCUUUCAGCAGGGACGAAGCGAGAGUGACGGUACCUGCAGAAGAAGGACCGGCCAACUACGUGCCAGCAGCCGCGGUAAUACGUAGGGUCCGAGCGUUGUCCGGAAUUAUUGGGCGUAAAGGGCUCGUAGGCGGUUCGUCACGUCGGGAGUGAAAACUCGGAGCUUAACUCCGAGCCUGCUUCCGAUACGGGCAGACUAGAGGUAGGCAGGGGAGAGCGGAACUCCUGGUGUAGCGGUGGAAUGCGCAGAUAUCAGGAAGAACACCGGUGGCGAAGGCGGCUCUCUGGGCCUUACCUGACGCUGAGGAGCGAAAGCGUGGGUAGCGAACAGGAUUAGAUACUCUGGUAGUCCACGCCGUAAACGUUGGGCGCUAGGUGUGGGGGAC
rnacentral:rRNA from 1 species